rnacentral:rRNA from 1 species
AGCAGCAGCCGGGUAAUACGUAGGGUGCGAGCGUUAAUCGGAAUUACUGGGCGUAAAGCGUGCGCAGGCGGUUAUAUAAGACAGAUGUGAAAUCCCCGGGCUCAACCUGGGACCUGCAUUUGUGACUGUAUAGCUAGAGUACGGUAGAGGGGGAUGGAAUCCCGCGUGUAGCAGUGAAAUGCGUAGAUAUGCGGAGGAACACCAAUGGCGAAGGCAAUCCCCUGGACCUGUACUGACGCUCAUGCACGAAAGCGUGGGGAGCAAACAGGAUUAGAGACCCGCGUAGUCCCUGUCUCUUAUACA